AUGGCUUCUGUUCGAAAUGUUUUUUCCAUACUCUGAUGUGGUAAUAAAGACUGGAAAAACAUGUAUAUAUUUUUUAAAUCAAUUUGUUUAGCAUUCAUGCUAACACUUCUCCGGAUGCAUUGAACAAGGGAGUGGAAAGAUGGCCUGAUAUUUUUUUUUUAUGCUCCGACAUCCAAUCAGUUGGGUCUGCUUGUGUAUUUCCUCCACUAAAGUAGGUCAGAGGCUGAGAAACAAGCUGCUCUCUGUCCCCUCCAGGAGGACAAGGACAGACAUGGGGAAGUGAAGUCAGAGGACAGUUACUGCAAAGCAGAAGCAAAUCACUCCGAUGGAAAACGAGCCUAUUGUCAGCUCCACCACGCAUCGAUGGGACGGUUAAAAAACUAUACAGCGCUGACUUAUCUUCAACUGCCAGAUUCUAAGAACAGGACAAAAACAAUUUAGAUUGGAACCCAGGAGAUCACAUAAAGUAUUCAAAAAUCUCAAUCAAUACUGUAGGACACCUUUGCCUGUAUGGACAAUCAACAAGCCUUCAAUAAAAUGCUAUUCACCAUUUGGCAGAGGAGGUGCCGAGGACUCACGUGAGACGACGUGGCUGGCUGCGGAGCUGUCACUGCUCACUGAGAUUGCUUGUCAAGGCGCCUGUCCACACCAGCUAACUGUGAUCUGAAGAGCAUAUGCGCGUGUGGACCGACAUAUGCUUCAAAGCCCUUCAGCGAGUUUACUUUAAACUUAAACAGAUGGACGAAACCCUGCAGGAAGGAUUCCGACAAAAACUCACAAGUUACAUUUGUUUGAUGGCAAAAAAUGAAUUAAAAAGUAGAAGCUUUUAAAAA